AACGAACGCUGGCGGCAGGCUUAACACAUGCAAGUCGAGCGCCCCGCAAGGGGAGCGGCAGACGGGUGAGUAACGCGUGGGAAUCUACCCAUCUCUACGGAAUAACGCAUGGAAACGUGGGCUAAUACCGUAUACGUCCUUCGGGAGAACGAUUUAUCGGAGAUGGAUGAGCCCGCGUUGGAUUAGCUAGUUGGUGGGGUAAAGGCCUACCAAGGCGACGAUCCAUAGCUGGUCUGAGAGGAUGAUCAGCCACACUGAGACUGAGACACGGCCCAGACUCCUACGGGAGGCAGCAGUGGGGAAUAUUGGACAAUGGGCGCAAGCCUGAUCCAGCCAUGCCGCGUGAGUGAUGAAGUCCCUAGGGUUGUAAAGCUCUUUCACCGGUGAAGAUAAUGACGGUAACCGGAGAAGGAGCCCCGGCUAACUUCGUGCCAGCCGCCGCCGUAAGAC
rnacentral:rRNA from 1 species